AGCUCUGUCGGAAUACAGCAUCGCUACUUUUCAGCCUGAGCAGUUAGACCUGCAUUUCACAUUCAGCCAUCCGAAGCAGAAAUCGAAACAAGUCCUCAAUAUACAGCAGAGGAACGCCCUGCUCCAGGACGAGUUAAAGUUCCCACUUGGAUACAACAUUAGCAUCGAAGUUAAGGGUAAAGGAACUGGAACGCUUACUUUUCUGAAGUCGUACCUAUUGAUAUCAGAGCCCAAGAAUACGUGUGAUUAUUUCAGGCUUGAGGUCACGGUGAAAGGGAAGGUGGAGUAUGAGG